rnacentral:rRNA from 1 species
AUUGAACGCUGGCGGCAGGCCUAACACAUGCAAGUCGAGCGGAUGAAGGGAGCUUGCUCCUGGAUUCAGCGGCGGACGGGUGAGUAAUGCCUAGGAAUCUGCCUGGUAGUGGGGGAUAACGUCCGGAAACGGGCGCUAAUACCGCAUACGUCCUGAGGGAGAAAGUGGGGGAUCUUCGGACCUCACGCUAUCAGAUGAGCCUAGGUCGGAUUAGCUAGUUGGUGGGGUAAAGGCCUACCAAGGCGACGAUCCGUAACUGUCUGAGAGGAUGAUCAGUCACACUGGAACUGAGACACGGUCCAGACUCCUACGGGAGGCAGCAGUGGGGAAUAUUGGACAAUGGGCGAAAGCCUGACCCAGCCAUGCCGCGUGUGUGAAGAAGGUCUUCGGAUUGUAAAGCACUUUAAGUUGGGAGGAAGGGCAGUAAGUUAAUACCUUGCUGUUUUGACGUUACCAACAGAAUAAGCACCGGCUAACUUCGUG